rnacentral:rRNA from 1 species
CAGCAGCAGCCACGGGAAUACGGAGGGUGCAAGCGUUAAUCGGAAUUACUGGGCGUAAAGCGCACGCAGGCGGUCUGUCAAGUCAGAUGUGAAAUCCCCGGGCUUAACCUGGGAACUGCAUUUGAAACUGGCAGGCUAGAGUCUUGUAGAGGGGGGUAGAAUUCCAGGUGUAGCGGUGAAAUGCGUAGAGAUCUGGAGGAAUACCGGUGGCGAAGGCGGCCCCCUGGACAAAGACUGACGCUCAGGUGCGAAAGCGUGGGGAGCAAACAGGAUUAGAUACCCCAGUAGUCCCUGUCUCUUAUAC